rnacentral:rRNA from 1 species
UGCAAGUCGAACGGUAACAGGUCUUCGGACGCUGACGAGUGGCGAACGGGUGAGUAAUACAUCGGAACGUGCCCAGUCGUGGGGGAUAACUACUCGAAAGAGUAGCUAAUACCGCAUACGAUCUGAGGAUGAAAGCGGGGGACCUUCGGGCCUCGCGCGAUUGGAGCGGCCGAUGGCAGAUUAGGUAGUUGGUGGGAUAAAAGCUUACCAAGCCGACGAUCUGUAGCUGGUCUGAGAGGACGACCAGCCACACUGGGACUGAGACACGGCCCAGACUCCUACGGGAGGCAGCAGUGGGGAAUUUUGGACAAUGGGCGAAAGCCUGAUCCAGCAAUGCCGCGUGCAGGAUGAAGGCCUUCGGGUUGUAAACUGCUUUUGUACGGAACGAAAAAGCUUCUCCUAAUACGAGAGGCCCAUGACGGUACCGUAAGAAUAAGCACCGGCUAACUACGUGCCAGCAGCCGCGGUAAUACGUAGGGUGCGAGCGUUAAUCGGAAUUACUGGGCGUAAAGCGUGCGCAGGCGGUUAUGUAAGACAGAUGUGAAAUCCCCGGGCUCAACCUGGGAACUGCAUUUGUGACUGCAUGGCUAGAGUACGGUAGAGGGGGAUGGAAUUCCGCGUGUAGCAGUGAAAUGCGUAGAUAUGCGGAGGAACACCGAUGGCGAA